CGCUAAACUGUUCAUAAUUUAUAGAAAUGAGUGAAGUAAAUCGAAUAUCAGGACUUUUGAAAUUGCUGAAUGAAUUGAUGUUGAAAAAAAAAGCAUGGAAUUGGUUCGGGCGUUACCAUAUCUCCGAGAAGAAGUUCUAUCUUCACACGCUUCUAUGUCCAUGAUUUGCUUUAUUAGGGGACUGGGAAGGCUUAGAUUAGAAAUUCAAGCUUCUGUAGUGAAAUCUUGCAUCAUUUGUCCAAGUGCUCUCGCCAUUGGAACCUUUCAGAAAAUGCAAUUAAUGUAUUAAGUUCUGAUGGGGAUUAUCAAGCCCUUGCCGAGGUGUGUUCGUAGUUCUGCGCGUGCUAGUGUUAUUCCCUAUGGUGUCAGAAGGUCGUGGAAGAGCUUAUUCAUAAUACCUUGAAUGCUGAUGGGUGGAAGGAUGGGGAUGGUGUUUGUGAUGUCCUACAUUGGUUGGGGAGGAGAACAAAACACCCUUUAUAAGGGUGUGGAAACCUUCCCCUAGCAUACGUGUUUUAAAGCCUUGAGGGGAAGCCCGUAAGGGAAAGUCCAAAGAGGACAAUAUCUACUAACAGUGGGCCUGAGUUGUUACAGUGUUGAUAGAUGUUAUAAUUGGAUGGGUUAAACAAUGAGUACUUAGCUUUUCCAACGAAAGGAAAUGGUGCAAGAAAGGGCUGAAUCUGCUAUGGCUUUCACGACCAUCUCUUGUAAGUGGUGCAAGGAUGUUUAGAUGAACUAUGUCAAUAAGUUUGGGUGAUAUGCAUAUGGCAUGCUUGAUGUGAUUUUCUUAUCGACAAGUGCUGAAAAGUAGAAUUCUAAGGAAGGAAAUAGACAUCUUAGCAAGCUGGAAAAUACUUAAUGAAUUUGGAUUUACUACCUUGGUGAGUUUAUGCGAGCUCAACCGAACCUAUCCCCUCUUUUUUUGUGAUUCAAGGGAAGUCGUAACAAGGUAUCCAUGGGGGAACCUUGUUCAAUAGCUUUAUGCAGUGACAUUGAAAUUUCAUGAUCUCAUCAAGAUACCCAAGGUGGAACGUUUGGCUUCCGAGGAUAGGCAUUUGCUUCGAUUUCAGAUGUAUCGGUGGUGAUCAUAACCAAAGCAUGUGGGAGGGAAAAUGGAUAUUGUAAAGUCAUGAAGGGUUGCAAAUGCUUGUGUCUUGGAAUUGAUGAUGAUUUGGAAGAUGUUGGUACUACUGGGUUGGAGGAGGAGGAAGUGACCAAUAAUUGACAAGUUUGAGCUGUUAAAUGUGCAAUGCGCCCAUGGACAACCAACGACGGUACCAACUUGUGAACAUGGAGGCAUUGCACAAGCAGCUAAGGGAGUGGGAAGUAUAGGACAAAAAUGGUUCAAAUGGAACGAGGAAUGGUCUGCAGCAACGGGAGAUGAGCACUGAACGAAUUUUGUGUUAGGAAUUACGAACCUCUACAAUAGUAUGAUAUUGUCCACUUUGAGCAUAAGCUCUCUAUGACUUUUCUUUUGGUUUUCUCAAGAAAUCUCGUACCAACGAAGACGUAUUCCUUACUUAUAAACCUAUGAUCAACCCCUUAAUUAGUCAAUGUGGGACUCGUUCUCCCAACAAUCUUCACCAUGUUGUGCUUAAGUUAGGCCGAAGGUUUACAGUAAUAGCAAGGAGGGGAGGAAGUAAUAAAGAAAAAUUUCUCCCCAUUACCAAAAACAGCAGAAACCUUGUUCCUUACCAAGUUAGCCCCCUAUUGAUUUUCUUUUUACUAUGUGUGAGAGGGAAUUACAUUUAAGUUCAAACUUA